GGAGGCACCGCCGGCUGCGCGGACACCCGCAUCGCCUUUCCGCGCCACGUGUAAUCGCCCAGUUAGUCCGGAUGAAAAAUUUUUGGUUAAUAUAUAGGGAGUUCCAAAAGAAUGGAAAAACUCAAGAAGAGAUGAGAUGUGCUGAUGAAGGUCUAUGUGGCUGCGAAUUGUUUGUUCUCCACCACCCCAUAUCUUCAAGAUGUGAGUGAUCUGGACCAGCAGAAAGGAACAGAUCUGCAGAGGCUUAAGAUGAAAAAUCACAAGGGCAGGAAUCAAUUUUAUCAGCAUAGCUAGUACUGGGGUGACCAGCAAUAACUGAGAAAAUAGCCUUUACUGGCACUCAAAUAAAUCAGUUUAAAGGCAAUCAUA